rnacentral:rRNA from 1 species
UACGGAGGGUGCAAGCGUUAUCCGGAUUCACUGGGUUUAAAGGGUGCGUAGGUGGGUUGGUAAGUCAGUGGUGAAAUCCCCCGGCUUAACCUGGGAACUGCGUCUGAUACUGGAAGGCUUGAGGAUGGGAGAGGGAUGUAGAAUUCCAGGUGUAGCGGUGAAAUGCGUAGAUAUCUGGAGGAAUACCGGUGGCGAAGGCGGCAUCCUGGACCAUUACUGACGCUGAGGCGCGAAAGCGUGGGGAGCAAACGGG